CUGUGGCCAUAUCAUGUUGAAACACCGGUUCCCGUACGAUCACUGAAGUUAAGCAACGUAGAGCCUGGUCAGUAC